GAGUUUGAUCGUGGCUCAGAACGAACGCUGGCGGCAUGCCUAACACAUGCAAGUCGAACGGGAUCCAGGCUUCGGCCUGGUGAGAGUGGCGGACGGGUGAGUAACGCGUGGGAACCUGCCCAAUGGUCUGGGAUAACCGCGGGAAACUGCGGCUAAUACCGGAUAAGCCCGAGAGGGGAAAGAUUUAUCGCCGAUGGAGGGGCCCGCGUCCGAUUAGGUAGUUGGUGAGGUAACGGCUCACCAAGCCUUCGAUCGGUAGCUGGUCUGAGAGGAUGAUCAGCCACACUGGGACUGAGAUACGGCCCAGACUCCUACGGGAGGCAGCAGUGGGGAAUAUUGGACAAUGGGGGCAACCCUCGAUCCAGCAAUGCCGCGUGAGUGAUGAAGGCCUUAGGGUUGUAAAGCUCUUUUGCCGGGGACGAUGAUGACGGUACCCGGAGAAUAAGCCCCGGCUAACUUCGUGCCAGCAGCCGCAGUAAC
rnacentral:rRNA from 1 species